rnacentral:rRNA from 1 species
UACGGAGGGUGCAAGCGUUAUCCGGAUUCACUGGGUUAAAGGGUGCGUAGGCGGGCAGGUAAGUCAGUGGUGAAAUCUCCGGGCUUAACCCGGAACUGCCGUUGAUACUAUCUGUCUUGAAUAUCGUGGAGGUAAGCGGAAUAUGUCAUGUAGCGGUGAAAUGCUUAGAUAUGACAUAGAACACCGAUUGCGAAGGCAGCUGGCUACACAAAUAUUGACACUGAGGCACGAAAGCGUGGGGAUCAAACAGG